rnacentral:rRNA from 1 species
GACGGAGGGUGCAAACGUUGUUCGGAAUCACUGGGCAUAAAGAGCACGUAGCUGCGCGCUAAGUCAGGUGUGAAAUCCCACGGCUCAACCGUGGAACUGCUGGGUAUACUGGCGGUCUUGAGCCACCUAGGGGCGAGCGGAACAAGCGGUGGAGCGGUGAAAUGCGCAGAUAUCAGGAGGAACAUCCGUGGCGAAGGCGGCUCUCUGGGACGGUACUGACGCUGAGGUGCGAAAGCGUGGGGAGCAAACAGG